UAGAGUUGUAGGCUUUGCCUGCUAUCUCUUACCCAUGUCUUUUGAGUACCUUACGUUUCCUCGGCGGGUCCGCCCGCCGAUUGGACACUUUAAACCAUUUGCAGUUGCAAUCAGCGUCUGAAAAAACUUAAUAGUUACAACUUUCAACAACGGAUCUCUUGGUUCUGGCAUCGAUGAAGAACGCAGCGAAAUGCGAUAAGUAGUGUGAAUUGCAGAAUUCAGUGAAUCAUCGAAUCUUUGAACGCACAUUGCGCCCCUUGGUAUUCCAUGGGGCAUGCCUGUUCGAGCGUCAUUUGUACCUUCAAGCUUUGCUUGGUGUUGGGUGUUUGUCUCGCCUCUGCGUGUAGACUCGCCUCAAAACAAUUGGCAGCCGGCGUAUUGAUUUCGGAGCGCAGUACAUCUCGCGCUUUGCACUCAUAACGACGACGUCCAAAAGUACAUUUUUACACUCUUGACCUCGGAUCAGGUAGGGAUACCCGCUGAACUUAAGCAUAUCAAUAA
rnacentral:rRNA from 1 species